AGCGAACGCUGGCGGCAGGCCUAACACAUGCAAGUCGAACGAACCUUUCGGGGUUAGUGGCGGACGGGUGAGUAACACGUGGGAACGUGCCUUUAGGUUCGGAAUAACUCAGGGAAACUUGUGCUAAUACCGAAUGUGCCCUUCGGGGGAAAGAUUUAUCGCCUUUAGAGCGGCCCGCGUCUGAUUAGCUAGUUGGUUGAGGUAAUGGCUCACCAAGGCGACGAUCAGUAGCUGGUCUGAGAGGAUGAUCAGCCACAUUGGGACUGAGACACGGCCCAAACUCCUACGGGAGGCAGCAGUGGGGAAUAUUGCGCAAUGGGCGAAAGCCUGACGCAGCCAUGCCGCGUGAAUGAUGAAGGUCUUAGGAAUGUAAAAUUCUUUCACCGGGGACGAUAAUGACGGUACCCGGCGAAGAAGCCCCGGCUAACUUCGUG
rnacentral:rRNA from 1 species